UCCUCAAGUGUUUCUGAUGGCUUAAAGCUUAUAGUGGCAUGAAGUUUCUGUAACAAAUCUCUCCCCAGUAACGGGUACGGACAAUCUGGAAUAACUAAAAAGGAGUUGCUUCAACACAGAAAAUGUGGCUCCCGCGACCAGGAAGUCUACUGGUUUCCCUUCGACAUUCAAGCCGCUGCUUUCACCCCCCUCAACAGAGCCCGGCGAUAUUGGAGUAGUGCGUCCCUUCCCCCGCUCGUGUUGGGGUCCCAGUUUGGGGGUUGCUCAGGUAAUAUGUCUAAUA